UACGUAGGGGGCAAGCGUUGUCCGGAUUUAUUGGGCGUAAAGAGCUCGUAGGCGGCUCGAAAAGUCGGCGGUGAAAACUCGGGACUCAACUCCGAGGCGCCCGUCGAUACUGUCGAGCUUGAGUCCGGUAGGGGAGUGUGGAAUUCCUGGUGUAGCGGUGAAAUGCGCAGAUAUCAGGAGGAACACCGAUGGCGAAGGCAGCACUCUGGGCCGGCACUGACGCUGAGGAGCGAAAGCUAGGGGAGCAAACAGGAUUAGAUACCCUGGUAGUCCUAGCCGUAAACGAUGGGUACUAGGUGUGGGGCGGUAUUGACCCGUUCCGUGCCGUAGCUAACGCAUUAAGUACCCCGCCUGGGGAGUACGGCCGCAAGGCUAAA
rnacentral:rRNA from 1 species